UAGGUACUUUCUGUGGCAUGUUUUCAUGGUGUGGGAAUAAGACUUGGUGGUCAAAUACAGCUAAUAUGUAGGUUAGCACCACAGCUUGUCUGCAAGGAUUGAAGCUGGGAAACGGCAUUGGAGCUGAAUUUUAUGGAAGCUGUGGCUGCAGCAAUGAUUAUGUGAUAAAACUGAAG